rnacentral:tRNA from 1 species
GUCCAUGGAUGGGAAUCGAAUCCACACUGUUCCGCUUACCGGGCAGAUGCCAUGUCCACUAAGCUACCCUGGA